rnacentral:rRNA from 1 species
AACGGGACUCUUCGGAGUUCAGUGGCGGACGGGUGAGUAACGCGUGAGAAUCUGCCUUCAGGUUGGGGACAACCACUGGAAACGGUGGCUAAUACCGAAUAAGCCAAACGGUGAAAGAUUUAUUGCCUGAAGAUGAGCUCGCGUCUGAUUAGCUAGUUGGUGGGGUAAAGGCCUACCAAGGCGUCGAUCAGUAACUGGUCUGAGAGGAUGAUCAGUCACACUGGGACUGAGACACGGCCCAG